AAAAUGGUACGCAACAAGAAAAUGCUAAUGCACGAGUAUUCACACUCAUUAAGACGGAUGUAGAAGGAAACCCCUCAGUAAUAUCACGUGAACUAUCUAUCUCCAAAACUCCUGCUUAUGUGCUAAUAGACUCAAGAGCUACACAUUCAUUUGCCUAACCAGCAUUCAUUAGGAAAAUCGAAAAUGUCCAUGACAUAAUAAAUAGGCCUUUUAGUGUCAUGGUACCAUCGGGUGAAAUAUUAAACUCGGGACAAUUAGUUAAGGCAUGUAAGGUUAGCAUUAGUGGUA
rnacentral:lncRNA from 1 species